ACAUGAGGAGCAAUUUUGCUCAAAUAGAUUAUGGCAGGGAAGGCACAAUGUCAGAGCCGUCGGGUGUGGCAGAAGAUUCCAGAUAAUGUGGCUCCUGAUUGUUGCACAAGGAGCAUGUCCCUGAGUCGCUCACUGUGGUGGAAGCUUCCGGAUAGUGUCAUUUCCUGCUUGUUGCUGGAGGCUGCAGCUUCUCUGCCAGCUCAGUUCUGCAGUGUGGCUGUGGUACACAGACUUCUAAUUUAUCCCAUUUAUCUUUUCUUUCGUGGAGCUACUGGCCUUACACCUGACCUGACUUCUCCAAGCUCUGGAAAGAAGGGCCAAGAAGCCAUGGGAGGCCACAUGCUAAGUCACGUGGCUGACUCAACAAGUAGAAGAGUAGCAGUCUUCAGAGUCAUUGCCCAGAAAAUUAAGCAAUAAUUCAUUUUGGAACUAGCUUAUUCCUUCAAACAUUACGAUAUUGUCCUCAAACAAAUAAACAGAGCAAGAUGUGUUCCCCAAGAUAUCAUGUUACCUGAGUUUUUUGACUCC